rnacentral:rRNA from 1 species
AUAGAUCCUGAAACCGCAUGCUUACAAAAAGUAGGAGCCCGCAAGGGUGACUGCGUACCUUUUGUAUAAUGGGUCAGCGACUUACAUUCAGUGGCAAGGUUAACCGAAUAGGGAAGCCGUAGAGAAAUCGAGUCCGAAUAGGGCGUUCAGUCGCUGGGUGUAGACCCGAAACCAAGUGAUCUAUCCAUGGCCAGGAUGAAGGUGCCGUAACAGGUACUGGAGGUCCGAACCGACUAGUGUUGCAAAACUAGCGGAUGAGCUGUGGAUAGGGGUGAAAGGCUAAACAAACUUGGAAAUAGCUGGUUCUCUCCGAAAACUAUUUAGGUAGUGCCUCAAGUAUUACCGUCGGGGGUAGAGCACUGUUUAGGCUAGGGGGUCAUGGCGACUUACCAAACCUAUGCAAACUCCGAAUACCGACGAGUACAGCUUGGGAGACAGAGCACCGGGUGCUAACGUCCGGACUCAAGAGGGAAACAACCCAGACCGCCAGCUAAGGUCCCUAAAAUUGGCUAAGUGGGAAACGAAGUGGGAAGGCUAAAACAGUCAGGAUGUUGGCUUAGAAGCAGCCAUCAUUUAAAGAAAGCGUAAUAGCUCACUGAUCGAGUCGUCCUGCGCGGAAGAUGUAACGGGGCUAAGCCAGUUACCGAAGCUGCGGAUUUGCAAUUUAUUGCAAGUGGUAGGAGAGCGUUCUGUAAGCCUGUGAAGGUGGGUUGUAAAGCCUGCUGGAGGUAUCAGAAGUGCGAAUGCUGACAUGAGUAGCGUUAAAGCGGGUGAAAAGCCCGCUCGCCGUAAGCGCAAGGUUUUCUACGCAACGUUCAUCGGCGUAGAGUGAGUCGGCCCCUAAGGCGAGGCAGAGAUGCGUAGUUGAUGGGAAACAGGUCAAUAUUCCUGUACCGAUGUGUAGUGCGAUGUGGGGACGGAGAAGGUUAACUCAGCCAACUGUUGGAUAUGUUGGUUCAAGCUUGUAGUCGUGCCUGGUAGGCAAAUCCGCCGGGCUUAGAUGAGGAGUGAUAACGAGGCUGCUUGCAGCCGAAGUGAGUGAUACCCUGCUUCCAGGAAAAGCCACUAAGCUUCAGCUACACACGACCGUACCGCAAACCGACACUGGUGCGCGAGAUGAGUAUUCUAAGGCGCUUGAGAGAACUCAGGAGAAGGAACUCGGCAAAUUGAUACCGUAACUUCGGGAGAAGGUAUGCCCCAAGUAGGUGAACUCGUACAGAGGGAGCCCAAAGGGGUUGCAAAAAAUCGGUGGCUGCGACUGUUUAAUAAAAACACAGCACUCUGCAAACACGAAAGUGGACGUAUAGGGUGUGACGCCUGCCCGGUGCUGGAAGAUUAAAUGAUGGGGUGCAAGCUCUUGAUUGAAGUCCCAGUAAACGGCGGCCGUAACUAUAACGGUCCUAAGGUAGCGAAAUUCCUUGUCGGGUAAGUUCCGACCUGCACGAAUGGCGUAACGAUGGCCACACUGUCUCCUCCUGAGACUCAGCGAAGUUGAAAUGUUUGUGAUGAUGCAAUCUCCCCGCGGAAAGACGGAAAGACCCCAUGAACCUUUACUGUAGCUUUGUAUUGGACUUUGAACAGAUCUGUGUAGGAUAGGUGGGAGGCUUUGAAGCGAGGUCGCUAGAUCUCGUGGAGCCAACGUUGAAAUACCACCCUGGUGUGUUUGAGGUUCUAACCUAGGUCCCUUAUCGGGAUCGGGGACAGUGCAUGGUAGGCAGUUUGACUGGGGCGGUCUCCUCCCAAAGUGUAACGGAGGAGUUCGAAGGUACGCUAGGUACGGUCGGACAUCGUGCUAAUAGUGCAAUGGCAUAAGCGUGCUUAACUGCGAGACUGACAAGUCGAGCAGAUGCGAAAGCAGGACAUAGUGAUCCGGUGGUUCUGUAUGGAAGGGCCAUCGCUCAACGGAUAAAAGGUACUCUGGGGAUAACAGGCUGAUACCGCCCAAGAGUUCAUAUCGACGGCGGUGUUUGGCACCUCGAUGUCGGCUCAUCUCAUCCUGGGGCUGUAGCCGGUCCCAAGGGUAUGGCUGUUCGCCAUUUAAAGAGGUACGUGAGCUGGGUUUAAAACGUCGUGAGACAGUUUGGUCCCUAUCUUCCGUGGGCGCUG